rnacentral:lncRNA from 1 species
AAGAAAAACUGUCAGUAAAGAGCAGUUUCCUGGAUCAGGCAAGCAAGAGAAGAGAGAGCGAGAGGGAGGAGCUACACAAACUUAUCUUCAAAACAUAAGGAUGCAACAUGAGGAUGAAAGUGGGAUGCUGGGAAAUGAAGUCCAAAGGUCACUGUAAAACAUAUAGCAGACAAGCUCUUAUGCAGCAUCCUAGCCCUCUAACUUCCAAGAUUUCCUACAGAAGUAUGAGCAGAACUAAGAGAGAACCAAACUAGAGUUGGCUGUUAGCCACAGUGCGUGCGUG